rnacentral:rRNA from 1 species
UGGUGGAGUGAUUUGUCUGGUUAAUUCCGUUAACGAACGAGACCGCUACUUACUAAAUAGUUUAGUUAGUGAUUUUCUACUAGCAGGAACUUCUUAGAAGGACGUGCAUUCUAUUAGAUGCAGGAGGAUAGCGGCAAUAACA